UAUUCAACAACCUUAAUAUCAAAAACUCCAAGUCAGGCCCAUCACUUGUCGCACCACAUUAAACGACUCUACACUUUCCCGGCCCCGUUUUCGGCGCCGUUGUAACCGCCAAACAUGGACUACAACAACAAGCUUGUUCUUGCUCCUAUGGUUCGAGUUGGUACACUGCCUUUGAGGUUGUUAGCUGCUGAAUAUGGUGCUGAUAUCACUUAUGGGGAGGAAAUUAUCGACCAUAAGCUUGUUAAGUGCGAUCGUAUCGUUAACGAUUAUUUGGGUACGAUUGAUGUUGUUGAGAAAGGGACUCAAAGUGUGGUAUUUAGGACCUGCCCGGAGGAGCAUAACCGGGUCGUGUUUCAGAUGGGGACUUCUGAUGCUGUUAGAGCUCUCAAGGCUGCCCAACUUGUGUGCAAUGAUGUUGCUGCUGUUGAUAUCAAUAUGGGUUGUCCCAGGUCAUUUUCUAUUAGUGGGGGCAUGGGUGCUGCAUUGCUAUCAAAGCCAGAGACUAUUCACGAUAUUCUGACAACAUUGAAGAGGAACCUAAAUACCCCCGUAACAUGUAAAAUACGACUUUUGAAAACAUCUCAUGACACUGUGGAAUUGGCCAGACAGAUUGAGAAAACAGGUGUUUCUGCUCUUGCUGUCCAUGGAAGAAAAGUUCCAGAUAGACCAAGGGAUCCUGCUAAGUGGAAUGAGAUUGCUGAUGUGGUUGCUGCAUUAUCAGUUCCAGUAAUAGCAAAUGGCGAUGUCUUUGAUUAUGAAGAUAUUCAGCGCAUAAAAAAUGCUACAGGUGCCUCGUCCAUUAUGGUUGCAAGAGGUGCUCUUUGGAAUGCAUCGGUUUUCUCCCCUAAAGGAAAAUUGCCAUGGGAAGAGGUGAAGAAAGAGUAUGUCAGGAAGAGCAUCUUGUGGGAUAAUGAAGUCAAAAGCACUAAGCACACUUUGAAGGAAAUGAUAAUGCACCAUUCUUGCCUAGAAUUUCCAGAAGGGAAGGCUGUGAUCAAAUCAGAAACCUUGGUGGAUCUUGCGAAACUUUAUGGGGAAGAGGAUUAUUUCCAGUUUGUCAACAAAAACAGAUGACACAUAAGGGCUUUAAGGCUUUUGUAAAAUGAAACACAAAUCCUUUCCUGCAAAUUCUCAUCGAAUUUGAGAAUUAGGAUGCAUAUCAGGGUUCUUUCUCCUGAUUAAGCACAUAUAUAGACUUGCAACUUGCGUCUGAUAAGUGAAUGAGUUUAACCAAAACGUGCCAGUGGACAAGAUCUGACUACUACUGAAACGUAAAGAGCCUUCAUGAAAAUUGCAUUUCUACGUCACUGCAGUUGUCUACAGCGAUUGAUUGUGCUGAAGAGUGUUUUAUGAUUUGAACAAGUGAUGAACUCUUACUAUUGAUAUUCUUUGUGGUGAUAUGCUUUUGACCUGUGUACAACUCGCCUUGGAGAUGAUAUUCCACAUUCUUUGUAGUGAUAGCUUUCCCAUUGAAAUUGUGGAUAAGUGAGAAGAUGGUAUCGUUCAUGGAAUAUAAGAAUUUUGCAUCAUUUCAAUGUAAAAAUUAUUCUGCACUUUGAUGCCAUUUGUUGAUACUUUUUAGCAUUUGAAGCUAUUUCACCCUGGCAAUAACGCAUGCUAUUGGUUAUCGCUAAGGUAAGCCUUUAUUGAAUCUUACAAACUCUUCCGUCAUCCAGAUUCAAUUAUCACAUUACUAAUGCAAUGUAGCAACUUGCUGAUGCAUUUCUUUUGGUCUUUUAAAAACAACCUCCAUUGAAAUUUGGCUAUUACAUUACUAGUAUGAAGUACUGAAUAAGAAAUAAUUUGGUUUUUACAUUACUAGUAUGAAGUACUGAAUAAGAAAUUGAUCGUCGCGUUACUAGUUCCAAAUUGAAGGCGUAUUUGGUAAACUGUAAGCCUCAUCAAAUCAAAUCGAUGCCACAGCGAGGUUUUUGGCCCAUUAUUGACGCAUCAGUGCUUGUCGACUGCAUUGAUUGCAAAGAGCCAAUAAAGGUACUCCGUAGUCCGUACAUUAUAAAGCAGUGAAAAAGAUGAAAAGAUGCCAAACCACAAACUCUUUCUCAUCUGAUGAUCAAAGUUUGUGAAGUACCAUUCCAAAUUAAACC